GGUUUUAGAGGAGAAGGGUGACUCGUUGAUUAGGAGGUAUUUCGAUGGGUCCGCUUUUAUAGAGCUCAUGAAGCAAUUGAUUUCUUGGCGUCAAUUAGCCUUAGAGGUUUUAAGUUGGAGAAGAAAACAAGCUGAGAGGAGCACUCCUAUGACACCAGAGGAGUAUGCCAAGGGUAUCUCAGUUGCUGGUAGGGCAAAGAAUGUUGAUCUUGCAGUUGAGCUGUUUGCUGAGGCUAGUAGCAAGCGUGCUAAGAGAACUUGUACCUAUAAUGCACUGAUGGGUGCUUACAUGUACAACGGUCAUGCUGAUAAAUGUCUGUCGUUGUUUCGUGAAUUGAAAAAGGAAUUAAAUUUUGGUCCUUCAGUUGUAACAUAUAACAUCCUUAUAUCAGUCUUUGGUCGCUUGUUACUGGUUGAUCAGAUGGAGGCAACAUUUGAGGAGUUGAAGCAUUUAAAUAUCUUGCCAAACUUGAUCACGUACAAUAAUUUAAUUGCCGG
rnacentral:misc_RNA from 1 species